rnacentral:misc_RNA from 1 species
UCCGGUUUAUCACCGGCAGUCUCCCAUGAGUCCCCACCAUGACGUGCUGGCAACAUGGGACGAGGGUUGCGCUCGUUGCGGGACUUAACCCAACAUCUCACGACACGGGCUGACGACAGCCAUGCACCACCUGUGCGCGGCCCUUGCGGACCCGACAUCUCUGCCGGAUUUCCGCGCAUGUCAAGCCCAGGUAAGGUUCUUCGCGUCGCAUCGAAUUAAUCCGCAUGCUCCGCCGCUUGUGCGGGCCCCCGUCAAUUCCUUUGAGUUUCAGCCUUGCGGCCGUACUCCCCAGGCGGGGUGCUUAACGCGUUAGCUGCGACGCUGAAAGGGUCGCUCCCCCCCGCAUCUAGCACCCAUCGUUUACGGCGUGGACUAC